rnacentral:rRNA from 1 species
UACGUAGGCAGCGAGCGUUGUUCGGAAUUACUGGGCGUAAAGAGUGUGUAGGCGGUGUUCCAAGUUCGGUGUGAAAUCUCCCGGCUUAACUGGGAGGGUGCGCCGAGACUGGAAUGCUCGAGCGUGGGAGAGGAAAGGCGGGAAUUCCUGGUGUGAGCGGUGGAAAUGCGUAGAUAUCAGGAGGAACACCUGUGGUGUGAGACAGCUUGGCUGGACCAUCACUGACGCUGAGGCACGAAAGCGUGGGUAGCAAACAGG